AGCCCACAGCACGCUGAUUGGUCGGAUCGACUGUCAAUCGGAAAAGCAAGAAGGCGGGGCUUCAGAGCCGUGGGAAGGCGGGACUUUGCCGGCUCCCGGAAGGAAGUGCAUCAGGGGAACCUGAGGCGCAGAGGAGAGAGGAGGUUUGUCAGGGCCACAGAGGCUCUCCACGUGCAAAAUGGGUGAAAGGUUGGACGGAAAGAGGCCGCAUGCUAACCUGGCUAGGUAAGGGAAGCCGGCAUGGCCGCCUCGCCAACUCAGAGACCUAAAGUAACCACAAAGGAUGGUCUGAAACCAAAACUUUGAAGACGAAAAGCAGUUUAUGGUGGCACCUCACCUGGUCUGAUGGGGGCUGCCAUUUCUGCCCCUUCUGGAGGGCCAUGAACACUGUGUCGUCUGCCAGAGCUUGGAAAUACUCUUCUG